GAGUUUGAUCCUGGCUCAGGAUGAACGCUAGCGGCAGGCCUAACACAUGCAAGUCGAGGGGUAUAGUAAGCUUGCUUACUAGAGACCGGCGCACGGGUGCGUAACGCGUAUGCAAUCUACCUUGUACAGGGGAAUAGCCCAGAGAAAUUUGGAUUAAUGCCCUAUAGUAUAUUAGAAUGGCAUCAUUUUAAUAUUAAAGUUUCGGCGGUACAAGAUGAGCAUGCGUCCCAUUAGUUAGUUGGUAAGGUAACGGCUUACCAAGACGAUGAUGGCUAGGGGUCCUGAGAGGGAGAUCCCCCACACUGGUACUGAGACACGGACCAGACUCCUACGGGAGGCAGCAGUGAGGAAUAUUGGGCAAUGGGCGGAACCCUGACCCAGCCAUGCCGCGUGCAGGAAGACGGUCCUAUGGAUUGUAAACUGCUUUUAUACGGGAAGAAACACUCCCUCGUGAGGGAGCUUGACGGUACCGUAAGAAUAAGGAUCGGCUAACUCCGUGCCAGCAGCCGCGGUAA
rnacentral:rRNA from 1 species